CAUGGAGGAAGCGGCGGAGGAGGUUGAAGAGGAGGCCGUCGGAGAGAAAGAUGACGGAGCUAAGGUAAAGUCUAUCCGUAUCCUCUCUCGUUCUUUUUUUUCUCGAUAAACCUUCUAAUAGUUAGAAUCUGACAAAGAAUCGUCGAAAAUAGAUCAUGAAAAUCGAAACUUCUUGUUUUUCUUUCUAUUGCUCGUCUAGCUAGCACCCUCAUCGGUCUUACCAUCCGCUGGGUGGCUUCCCGCCCCUUACCCGAGUUCCCAUGGCCGGUGGCCUCACCGACCACAGCCACCGUCGAGCCAUCUAUCUUUUUCAUGGAGCGGACAAG
rnacentral:lncRNA from 1 species